rnacentral:misc_RNA from 1 species
UUUGGUAUUGAUUUAGAAUUGUACACAGUUUUUAAAAAUAUAUAAAAUGAUAUAAUAUAAAAUGGAAGAAGAUAAUUCAAAUGAUUCAAGUGAAAGUAAUGAUGAAAUUACUGAGCCUGGAUCUGAUUUAGCCAGCAUACUAUCAUUUUUAUUGCAAAGUGGACAAGUCACAUUAAUGCGAGAUGGUUAUUCUGGUGGAUAUUCUGUUAGUUUAAGAAAUUCUGAUGGCAACACCAGCAAUGAUAAUGAAGAUUCUGUAGAGAGAAGAGGGAAUAAAUCUCCUUUGCCAAAUGAAUGUCUCCCUGACACAAGUGUUAUUGAUAACAGCACAUUCAAAGAAAUUGUUUCAAACGACUCUGGUGUGUAUAAUGAAAGUCCACAAAAUAUUUUGCAAAGAGUUUUUCAGAGAGAGAGUGGUUGUUUGAAGAAAAGAAGUCAUUUUUUGUUAUCUGAUCAAGCAGUUUGUUCUAAAAGUUACCUUCCAAAUGUCUGUAAAGUUGUUGCAAAUUACAGAUCAAAAGCAUUUUGUGGUUUAUAUUCUUCAGAUGGGAAUGUUUUUAUGUCAGCUUGCCAAGAUCAACAUAUACGUUUGUAUGAUACUACAAAUGGAAAGUUCAAAAUGUUUCAUGAUAUAAUAGCAAAAGAUGUAGGAUGGAGUAUUGUUGAUGCUUCUUACAGUCCUGAUCAGAACUAUAUUAUUUAUUCUAGUUGGUCUGAGUAUGUUCACCUAUGUAAUGUUUACGGAGAUUAUGAGACUCAUCUGGCUCUUGAUUUAAAACCUCAAGAAAGUAGGUUUUGUGCUUUUUCUGUUUGCUUUUCUCAAGACAGCAAAGAAAUUUUGGCUGGUGGCAGCGAUCGAUGUUUUUAUAUAUAUGACAUAAGUAGUGAAAAGAGAACAACAAGAGUACUAGCUCAUGAUGAUGAUGUAAAUGCGGUGCGGUUUUCAAAUAACUCUUCAUCUAUUCUAAUAUCAGGUGGAGAUGAUGGGAUUUGUAAAGUAUGGGAUAGACGCACAAUGACUAAGGAAUCUCCUAAGCCUGUAGGUUGUUUUGCAGGUCAUACAGAUGGCAUCACAUAUGUUUGUGAAAAGGGAGACGGUCAACAUUUUAUCACAAACUCAAAAGAUCAGAGCAUUAAAUUAUGGGAUAGUCGACGAUUUUCAUCAGAAAAUACAAUAAAGGAGUUUCGUCGGUUAGUAGCUAAUCAAAGCUGGGACUAUCGCUGGGAAAAAGCUCCAAGAAGAUCGCUUCGACAUAAAGGUUCUCUUACAAACGAUGCUGUUAUGACUUAUCAAGGACAUUCAGUACUUCAUACUUUAUUACGUGCUAAGUUUUCACCAGAGUUUACUACUGGGCAGAGAUACAUUUAUACCGGCUGCGCCACAGGAAGUGUAUUCAAGGAUCUUUGUAAAUACAUUUCCAUCAGAGUACAUUUCAAUCAAAGCAGUUUUGGUUUAGUCUGUUAUUAAUUAAUAUCAGGAUAUUGAGUCUACGAUGUGCUGACAGGUAAAGUGGUUACAAAACUACAAGGUACUCAUCGUCAAUGUGUACGCGAUGUUUCUUGGCAUCCUUAUGAGUGCAAUAUUAUGUCGACAUCGUGGGAUUUUACCAUUGGAAAAUGGGAGUACUCAUCGAAGCCUUUUGAAGAGUGCAAAAU